rnacentral:rRNA from 1 species
CCGUUCCAGCAGCCGCGGUAAUACGGAGGGUGCAAGCGUUACUCGGAAUCACUGGGCGUAAAGGGUGCGUAGGCUGACUUUUAAGUCAGGCGUGAAAUCCAAUGGCUUAACCAUUGAACUGCGCUUGAAACUGGGAGACUAGAGUUCAGAAGGGGCAGAUGGAAUUAGUGGUGUAGGGGUAAAAUCCGUAGAUAUCACUAAGAAUAUCAAAAGCGAAGGCGAUCUGCUGGGAUGAUACUGACGCUGAGGCACGAAAGCAUGGGGAGCAAACAGG